UUUGUGUCCUCUGCCUAUCAAUAUCAGGUCUCUUCUAUGGGAAGAACAGCAGGACUGCAGAGAGAACAAGCAGAAUGUUGACAAGAAGCAGACAUGAGCCCUUGUUUCCAGUAUGUGAGUCAUCAUUGCCACCAAUGGUCUGGGUCAUUGGCUGUGCACACACAUCCACAGACAGUACAACAACAGCCUCUAGUCCCUUGUUGCUGACCUUUGGGAAGCUGGGCAUGUAAGGCCAUACAUGAUCUACAGUGUACUUGUAGAGGUCAGAGGACAACUUGCAGGAGUCAUUUCUCUGCUUCCACAAUGUGAGUCCUGGGGAUCCAACUGAAGUCAUCAGAAGCAGUACUCGGGCUUCUAUUACACUUUAAUACGAUCUACAUAUAAGGUGAGUCACACAGUAUACCUUUUUGUCCAACAUAUUUACUUGUAAACUUUCAUUGCAAUGAGUCAUUGAACUUGUUCAUGGCCUCUAGUUUCUGGUACACUAUCAUCA